UACGUAGGGUGCGAGCGUUACUCGGAAUUACUGGGCGUAAAGCGUGCGCAGGCGGUUUUUUAAGUCAGAUGUGAAAUCCCCGGGCUUAACCUGGGAAUGGCAUUUGGGACUGCAAGGCUUGAGUGCGGCAGAGGAGACUGGAAUUCCUGGUGUAGCAGUGAAAUGCGUAGAUAUCAGGAGGAACACCGAUGGCGAAGGCAGGUCUCUGGGCUGAAACUGACGCUCAGGCACGAAAGCGUGGGGAGCAAACAGG
rnacentral:rRNA from 1 species